AGACGCCACCUCCAAACUUAGUCUUAAAACUAACACUCUAUUGUUUCCCGUGAUUCCGUGGUUGACAGGCUUCAGCUGGGCGGCUCUGCUCCCCGUGGCUGACCCGCUGCCGAGCCCGCUCUCAGUUGGGAGCUUGGCUCCACUGGAAAGGACCAGAGGCUUCUCACCCUCCCAGGUUUCUCUCCACGGCGUCUGCACGGUGAGUUGUGUAGCCAAGCUUCUCCACGACGUAGCAGCCGCCUACCACGAGGACGAGCCCCUGCGUACGGAGCCACUGCUGGUGCUCAGCCGGACCCCCCGAGUCACAGGACCAAGCCUAGCGUCCACGUGGGAGGGGAAGAAGCAAAGGCAGGCGACCCCAGAGGCAUGCGUCCUGGGGGCCCCUGAUGUGCUAAUUCCCCACAACCUCACUUUCUUUCUUGGGAAGUCACCCCCGUACAUCAUAGAAGAGGGCAGCAGCCAGGCUUGUGUUUACCUGCUCUCUUUCCACUGGCACCAGUGUUGCUGGGCUUGGAGGCCUGGGGUGUAACUUGGGGAAGUUCCAGAGACCCCCGCUCCUAUGCUCUGUGCCAACGGUGGCUUCUGUCCCUGGGCAACCACAGCCUGUACGGAGGAGACUCAGAGGCCUGGCAGGUAAGCAGUUUCUCUGUUACUUUCUGCAGUAGCACAGCUGCACACGCAUGCUGCCUCUUGCAUGUCAGUUCUGGUCUUCUCUUUCAGGGGGUGGCCUCCGCGGAGGCCUGUGGGAGCCCCUGCACAGGCUCCAUGAAGAUGGCGCCACAGACCUUGUCACUCUUCACAUUUGCUUGGGUUGCCUCAGGUCUCUGCCACCAGGGGACCCGUGUGACAGUGUGUGGGGGGCCCUGCCUCCUCUGGCUGGAGAGUACUGGGAGCCAGAUCCCAUUCUCACCUCCAAACCCCUCUCCUCAUGUCUCUGACCAAGUGGUGGGCACUGGGGCUGACCAGCGGGGUCUUGGCGUGCCUCGGGUCUCUUCAGAGUUGCGGGCACCUGGCCCGGGACUCUGUGGGUAGAUGUGCACCUGGGCUGUGUGGGGAGUGACAGUUCCCUUGGUUUCCUCACACAUCUGGGCUUUUGUCUCAAACCUUCGGCUCCGUUUUCUGGAAGAGGUCCCUUCCGUUUCACCUCAGGCUGAACCUUUCAUGUCAUAUGUAUGUAUGCAGGGAGAGGACAGGCUGGAGGGUCUUUAAGAAUCAGCAAAAUGGUAUUUCUGCCCUUUGGGAGAAAAAUUGAGGAUGUGUCCAGAGUGACUAGAAUGCUGAUCUGUACCAGCCUCUCGCUGCAGCCUCAGCACAAUGGGAAUCGCUCACCUCUGAGUCGCUGCCGUUCACCUGGAGGCUCGGAAGUCCCAGGGCGCAGGAACACGUCCGUGUGUCUUUGGAGGGGGACAUCAUGAGACGCUCUGGCCCCCCAGCCCCAUGGCCUUUGCUGAGGCUCAGAAUACACAUUCUGUUCAUGCUUCUUGUGACAGGCAGCGAUGACGCUGUGAGCAUCUUGACGUGAAGACGUGUCUGAAAAAGCAGCUGGGCUCUCAGAACAUUCACCUCCAGCGGGGCUCCACAGGCCCUGGGGGCUUCUAAUUUAGCUCUGCAGGCUGGGGAGCCACCAGAGGCUGUGGUUUGCUGGGGUGUCUGUCUUGUGAUUGAUUGGAGCUGAGAGGGAAACCCUGGGGCUCUGUUCCGUUGUGCCCUUGAAGUGAUCAGGAGUUGCUUCCUCCCUCCAGGAGACUGACCCAGCUCCGGUCUGGGGUGGUCACUGCUCCCCCAGCACCACCAGUCUGAAAACCCUAUGAGUCACUGGUACAGCUGCUGGGAUUCAUGCUACUCUCAACGACCUAAGUUCACUGAUAGCAGCACAAGCCCCCCAAAUCCAAUAUUGAGUUGUAUUGCUACUUAGGUAACCUGAAUAGUCUACUUCACCAGCCUGCACCUGCAAGUAAGGCUACAUUUCCUAUUUAGAGCAGGAACCUCAUUAGCCAGAAACUGGUUAUCCUCAAACUCUUUGCUGGUUAUUUUGGGGGUUUCUGGGUGGUUAGCCCCCCAAACAAGGGUGAUAACUGUAGUCACUAUGCCCGCUGCCUCGGCCCGCUUUCUGCUUUGGCCCCCCUUGGUCUCCCCACUACUAACUGGCGGCAGAGCUGUUGAGAGGUGCCUCACUGGGCCACUGUCCAUCACAGAAGUGCCCAGGGUGCCAGUUCUGGAUCCUCUCCCGGUCCUGAGCUGCACCCAUCACCUGGGCCCCAGAGCAGCCAGUAUGUCCAGCGUCUUGUGGAUUCACUCUUGAACAGUUUAACCAGAUUGAUACCAUCACCCACCGUGUCUUCUUUAGAGUCUCAAGAAGAAUAACCCUGACAGUUUCUGGCCCUUGCUCCUCUAACUACAGAAAUGCAAAACAGCCCCAGGGGGAGGAUGGGGCAAAUAAGUCUUGGAGUCAUUUCUGUGUUCAUCAGGAUUCUGAGGAUGUAAAUGACAUCCAGAAACCCAGUGGAAACUAGCAUCAACAGACAUGAGACUUUAUCUGGCAGCAAAGCUGAGAAGGCUUCUGGAACAGUUCCUCAGAUGUAGGAAGAGCUUCAGGAAGAAGGGUAUCAGGGGUGAGAAUGUGGCACAGCUCCCCUCUCCACCUUUCCUCCCUUCCCUCUCCCUCUUUUUUUCUCCUCUCCCCGCUCCCCUCCAACCUUUACUUCUUCCCUCUCCGUAAUUUCUCAUCUGUGACCUCAUUUGCAGACAGCCUGUCUGUGUGGCAGGGAGGGGUCUACUGGUGUCCCAGAUUCACAUUCCCCUGUGCAGCAACCCUACUGGAAAAAAAGAUCUCUCUUUCUCAGUGUGCGCAUAGAUAUCUCAGGGCAGGCAUGUGAUCGCCCGGCUUGGGGCUGUGUUGGUUUCAGGGGCAUGGGGUACUCUGGUAGGUUGUGUUGCGGUUGGGGUGAGAUCUGUUUCCAGCCAAAGAGGGGUCACAGCCACUACAAAGCCUGCACGCCCUCCCCCACUCCACUCCUGCCUGCCCUGCCUUCCUCUGCUUUAUCCACGAGCACACAGGGCCCUGGAGGUGGUUGGGUGGAAGCGGCACAGUUAGCAGUGCUAUCUACCCUGUGAGUGUUGAGUCUGCACUCAGACACCUGAACGGGUCCUGGCAUGCUUUUAUUUGCAUAUACGAGGCCUUCUCUGGCCUUCCGCUUCCCCAGCGCACUGCUGGGACGGCAGGCCGCUGGCCUGGGAGCGUGUGGGGUCAGUGCCACGGGACCCACAGCCUCGUCUGUCAGUGGGCACAGCUGAUGGGCUCGUUGGGCCCAGUUAUUCCUGAUGCAGACACUCUGAGGACGUGGAAUCCGCACUUUUUAAUCGUACUAUAAUGAGAGUGCCCUCCACGCCUGUCCCGCUUGCUCCGGGGAGCCCCAUCCUUCCCCCUCCUGCUCCUGCCUCCCUGGAUGCCUACGGAGGGCGGCUGGGUGAGGACCUGGCCUUCCAGCUGUGGUCCCAACUCUAUGGCCCUGAGCACUGUUCCUCCACAGGCAGGGCCAGGCUGCCUUGGCCUCUCAGCUCUCAGGCCCUCCCCUCCAUCCCUCUCCUGCCCCCUCUGAGGGAAGCAGGGCUGGGUAGGGGAGAGCCCUAGCUCCUCAAACACCGCUUCUCUCAAACGUUUUGAUUCUUUCCUCAAUCCUCUCUCUUCUUUAAAGACUCGGGCCUUUGGGAACCUAAGACCUAGACACCUUUCUUUUUUCCCUGCGUCUCUGUCAUUUUUUCCCUGAGGUAAAGGGCCUGGGACAUCCCUGUGGCUUGACCGCGGUGGGAAAGCAGAGGGAGAAACCCGGCUCAUUUACCUAGGAAGAGCCAGCCAGGCGGCCUCUGCUUCGAGGCUGGGGAACCUCGGAAGCUUGCUGUGUCUGCAGAGAGGGCGGAAGGGGGUUUGCUGCCUGGUUAACCAGCCUGGGUUGAUUGAGGUCCGCGUGCUUCUCCUGGAGUCCCUUCUCACUAGUAGAUCACCCUUCAAGGGAUAAGAGGAAGGGAUGGGAUAAACAUAGAAUGGGGCGCGGCCUGCCUGCCACAGCGGGAUCAAAACUCCUAAUUCCUGUCAGCCCCCCAGAGCCUCAGGCUCUACCCUUUACAGAAGCAUUAAUGAGUGCUUUCAGGAGUGACAGGCCGUGAGGCCGCUUAUUUUUAACCAGACAACGGAGGCUGAGCUCCUGAGUGGGACAAGGUGUCUCAGCCUCCCUGAAGCAAGCAGACCUGGAGGUGUCUGUCCCGGGCUUCCCAGGCCUGCAGCCGCUGGGAGGAACAUUUGCAGAGUCGCACCCAGGUUAGGGAAUCUCCUUCGGCCUGGGCUGCUUUGGCCAGUGUUUUGUCUCCUGGGCCUCCUUGGGACGGAGGGAGGCGCUCUGUGAUGGACAGAGGAGGCCGGCUGUGCUUUCUCAAGUGUGUGAGCUCUCCUGCUUCAGAAAUAGCUCUGGGUACUAAUUGGGGGUUUUUGCCCAGGAAGUGUUACUAGGAUCUGUCAGGUCCUACUAGGAACCAUCGGAAGGUGACAAGUCACUGGAGACCUUGACGCUUAACCACUGGUUACCCAGAAACCUGGACAGGGCCGCCUCUCCGGAGCCCCACAGCACCGGGAGACAGGUUACAAGCAUACACUAAAGUUACAGACUAAAUAAUGACUGUUGUGUAGAGGGCUGCGAGGGGACGGAUCGGGUGCUUUGGGAAGUGUGAGUCUGUGGGGGGGGGGGGGCGCCUGGGCCCUUUCUCCUCCCCCUCUCUGUACUUGUGCCUUUCCCAGACUCCGUUCCUCUGUCUCCUGUUUCGUCUCUCCAAGAACUGCUUCUCCUGCCUGGCUAAUUCCACAGGAGCCACGGAAAUGGGGGAAAGUGAGGGAGGUUGUCAGUGCCUGGAAAACCACUAAGCCCCUGCCUCCAGCUCCAGGCUGACAGCUCUGCCAGCCCUCAGUCCCAAGGCCUCUCCAGCAGCUUUCCAUGAAAGAGACGUCCCUCCCCGCCUCCACAUCCCUCUGGCAGCCAUGAAUCCAUUCCUGGACUACCGUCACCCCCCCCUAGAUGUGGCAGCCAGGGCCUAACGGGCGCUGCUAGUUUUCGUUCCCAGUUUUCAGUUACUUAGUGGGACUUGUUUUCCUUUAUCUCCUUAAGGGGCAAAUUGGAGACUUGGGUUUGAUAGGAAAAGAUCACCCCAGGACUUGAAAAACAGGGUUGCCUGUGGUAGAAAAGGCAGAUGGGGAAAUUGAAUAAUGCAUCUUAGAAAUGUUUAUUAGCAUUCUCAUGAUGAUAAGUGAGGGAUCGGAAAGGAAAUCUUCCACAAGUGUUGGUCAUUUGUCCCCUGGUUAGGGAGGCCGGUGUGCUUUGUGGGAAGAGUAGUUGAUUUGUCCCCCACUGGACACAUAUGUGUCUCAUCCCCGAUACUUAGCAAGGGACUCGGGAGAUUCUCCUGAAGGGAUUCAGUCGUCAUCUGCAGGCUUUUGGGGGGUGGUGGGGGUGGAGCAUGGGUGAGCAUUUGAGAAAAGCUGCAGGUAUUCUCUCCUUAACAACGCGCCCGCACAAAGACAAGCUCACAAUUUGAUGGGCACUUCAGGAUUUGCAGGUUCUUGGAAAUCCAUCCAUGGACCCUCACAUAGACCCCAGGUGAAAAACUCCUGGACCAGAGUUUACAUCUGUAAGGCCCCCUGCACAUACAUGUGCCCCCGAUCCCUGUUGGACGCCUCUGCUUCCUUCUUGCUGAGCACUGGGUACUGGUGCCAGGAAGGCCUGGGUUGGAGUCACAUUUCAGGGCAACUUCUCCAGUCACCCAUCUUGGCUGCCAAGGCCCAACAAAUGUGGGCUUUUUUCCCCCUAGAAAUGGGGAAGAUUUGGCAAAACUGGGCCUGCAUUCCUUAUGGCAACAAUUAGCUGGGCUUGGUGUCUGUGCCCGCUUUAGGUAGGGCGUGGCUGUCUGGGUUGCCAUGGCCUCUUCCCGCCACCUCAAUGCUGGGACCAAUUCAGUUCUGUUUAUCACCCCAGUUGAUCCGCACUUUUCUUAGAGCAGAGUUAAGUAAACAGUUUUAUCUCUGAAGAUAUACUGCAUAUCACAAAACACAAGUCUCCUCAUACAUAUGCAUAUAGAAAACACUCAUAUAUGCACAUGUACACGCACAUACCUGUUUGGCCCAUCCAGGUUGUCUGCAAGGCAUCUGAAUUUGUGACCUGAUCCUCUUCCUCCUCAUAGGGUUGCUGUGAGGGUUCAGUGGACUGAUGCAUGCAGAGCCUUCAGCACAGUGCCUGGUACACAGCAAGUGCUCACUCAGCACAUCCAGCUGGUGUUACUAAGCAGCAGAUGCCCAAGGCCACCUCCAGAGAGGAUGCAGGACAACAGGAGGGCAGCACAUCCACAGAGGCUUCCCAGGCUAUUAUGAGGGAGGAGAAACUCCCAAGUGUCUGAGGGGAUCAGCUCAGCACAGUGGCUGCGGCUGUGGAGCCAGACCUCCUCACAGGGGGAGGGUCUGUCCGCACCACGCAAGCAGCAUCCCUCACCGGUGCACCACGCUUAAUACAUUGCCUGAUGUUCAACCUUCAGUCACUCAGCAAACCUCCUACUGUGUGCCCACCUAGUGCUCACCUACUGUGUGCCUGGCCUGUGCUAGAUCAAGAGAUGGGACUUCCCUGGUGGCACAGUGGUCAAGAAUCCAC